GUUUAUAUAGUUUAAAUAAAACUUUACAUUUUCAUUGUAAAAAUGAAUUUUAUUCUGUAAAUA
rnacentral:tRNA from 1 species